GACGAACGCUGGCGGCGUGCUUAACACAUGCAGUCGAACGGAAAGGCCCUGCUUUUGUGGGGUGCUCGAGUGGCGAACGGGUGAGUAACACGUGAGUAACCUGCCCUUGACUUUGGGAUAACUUCAGGAAACUGGGGCUAAUACCGGAUAGGAGCUCCUGCUGCAUGGUGGGGGUUGGAAAGUUUCGGCGGUUGGGGAUGGACUCGCGGCUUAUCAGCUUGUUGGUGGGGGAGUGGCUUACCAAGGCUUUGCCGGGUAGCCGGCCUGAGAGGGUGACCGGCGACAUUGGGACUGAGAGACGGCCCAGACUCCUACGGGAGGCAGCAGUGGGGAAUAUUGCACAAUGGGCGGAAGCCUGAUGCAGCAACGCCGCGUGCGGGAUGACGGCCUUCGGGUUGUAAACCGCUUUCGCCUGUGACGAAGCGUGAGUGACGGUAAUGGGUAAAGAAGCACCGGCUAACUACGUG
rnacentral:rRNA from 1 species